rnacentral:rRNA from 1 species
CUUGCAGUCCCGAGUAGAGUGGCGCACGGGUGAGUAACGAGUAGAUAAUCUACCUUUGAAUUAGGGAUAACUAUGCGAAAGUGUAGCUAAUACCUGAUGAUGUCGAGUAGCCUUUGGGUUAUUUGAUGAAAGAGAGCUUUUUCGGAGGCAUUUGUUUGAAGAUGAGUCUGCGUACCAUUAGUUAGUUGGUGGGGUAAAAGCUUACCAAGACGAUGAUGGUUAGCUGGUCUGAGAGGAUGAUCAGCCACACUGGAACUGGGACACGGUCCAGACUCCUACGGGAGGCAGCAGUGAGGGAUUUUGCGCAAUGGGGGAAACCCUGACGCAGCAACGCCGCGUGAGUGAAGAAGGCCUUUGGGUUGUAAAGCUCUGUCGAUGGGGAAGAAGUUACUGUAUUUUAAUAGAGUAUAGUAUUGACGGUACCUGAGAAGGAAGCAUCGGCUAACUCCGUGCCAGCAGCCGCGGUAAUACGGGGGAUGCAAGCGUUAUUCGGAAUUAUUGGGCGUAAAGGGCGCGUAGGUUGUAGAUAGAG